rnacentral:rRNA from 1 species
UACGGGGGGAGCAAGCGUUGUUCGGAAUUACUGGGCGUAAAGGGCGCGCAGGCGGCCGUUGAAGUCAGGCGUGAAAGCCCCGGGCUCAACCUGGGAAUUGCGCUUGAAACUCGAUGGCUGGAGUUCGGGAGAGGAGAGUGGAAUUCCCAGUGUAGAGGUGAAAUUCGUAGAUAUUGGGAAGAACACCGGUGGCGAAGGCGGCUCUCUGGACCGAAACUGACGCUGAGGCGCGAAAGCGUGGGGAGCAAACAGG